ACGGGAGACACACGGCGGGUGCUAACGUCCGUCGUGAAGAGGGAAACAACCCAGACCGCCAGCUAAGGUCCCAAAGUCAUGGUUAAGUGGGAAACGAUGUGGGAAGGCCCAGACAGCCAGGAUGUUGGCUUAGAAGCAGCCAUCAUUUAAAGAAAGCGUAAUAGCUCACUGGUCGAGUCGGCCUGCGCGGAAGAUGUAACGGGGCUAAACCAUGCACCGAAGCUGCGGCAGCGACGCUUAUGCGUUGUUGGGUAGGGGAGCGUUCUGUAAGCCUGCGAAGGUGUGCUGUGAGGCAUGCUGGAGGUAUCAGAAGUGCGAAUGCUGACAUAAGUAACGAUAAAGCGGGUGAAAAGCCCGCUCGCCGGAAGACCAAGGGUUCCUGUCCAACGUUAAUCGGGGCAGGGUGAGUCGACCCCUAAGGCGAGGCCGAAAGGCGUAGUCGAUGGGAAACAGGUUAAUAUUCCUGUACUUGGUGUUACUGCGAAGGGGGGACGGAGAAGGCUAUGUUGGCCGGGCGACGGUUGUCCCGGUUUAAGCGUGUAGGCUGGUUUUCCAGGCAAAUCCGGAAAAUCAAGGCUGAGGCGUGAUGACGAGGCACUACGGUGCUGAAGCAACAAAUGCCCUGCUUCCAGGAAAAGCCUCUAAGCAUCAGGUAACAUCAAAUCGUACCCCAAACCGACACAGGUGGUCAGGUAGAGAAUACCAAGGCGCUUGAGAGAACUCGGGUGAAGGAACUAGGCAAAAUGGUGCCGUAACUUCGGGAGAAGGCACGCU
rnacentral:rRNA from 1 species